rnacentral:lncRNA from 1 species
GGACUAAAGAGCUCCCUUUAGUCCUGGUUGUAACGGCAGUGGGACGAGGGGGCUUUUUAUCUCGGUUGAAAACACCAACCGGGACUAAAGGCCCCGUUUAGUCCCAGUUGGAAAUCUUUAGCCCCGGUUGGUAAUUACCAAUCGGGACUAAACGCCUCCCCAGGCCCCCUCUCUCCCCACCUUAUCUCCCCUCCCCUCCCUUAUCUUCUCUCCUCCUCCCUUAUCUCCUCCAGACCCUUCCCUUGUCUUGCGCAGGUCCUUUCAGGUGGAGUGGCGCGGGCCGGCCUCCGGCGGGCGGGCGGCGAGCAGCGG